CAUCAGACACGAAGGAGAGGCCAACAGAUGAGGGAAGCCAUUUUUCUGCAAUGGAAUUAAAUGGCCAAGCCCAAGGACUCACAGUUGGAAGACUGGAGAAGACUUUUUAAAAAGAUCUGGAUUUUUCCUUAUGACUUGGAAUCCAUCUUUGUCUUGUAUAACUAGGUCAUAGCACACCAUUCAUGUCAGCAGUUAACAGUUUUGAAUUCCAAAAAAACCUAAAGCAGUAAACAGUCCUCAGCGAAGCCGCCUUUUUGCCUACCCAACCCUGGAAAGUUUGCAGAAGUGGAAGGAGCAGAACGUGAGGGUGUAACUUACAAAAAGGUUCUGGGCCGGAGAAGGGGCGACGUUCGGGCACCCCCCGAAUGGACAAUCUUUCCUUCUGUCAACGGCAGGGGCAGGCCUAGUUUGACUCUGACAGUCCUCCCACUAAGGAAUUCCUGGUGACUGGAAGGGGGAGUGACUCAGGCCCUCAACCUCUAGCAGGUAAGGGAGCUACCUCCUGGGUGGGCAUGCCCAGUUCCUCAGUGGGCCCAGCGCGGCCCAGCCUCCGAGGAAGCUCUGAGCAGCUGGCUUGGCUCCGAGGUAUUUUUAGCUACAGAUCCAGCCCCCCUCCAUCACCACAACAGUCGAGUCCAAAUCAAACGCGCUCCAGGCAGGUGGGGCUGGGGUUCUGCCAGCCUCCUGGCCAGCAGGGGUGGGUGGGCAGACUGGGGCCAGUAUCAGCUGUUCUGCCUGGACCCAGGCCGGGCUGGGAAGGCACACUUGUGCUUAUUUCCCGCCUCCACUUCUGUGCAAGCUUGUGCUGUCAUAAGCAGAGAUCACAGCCCCAUUUCUUGGAUGGAGAAAGUGGACACUGAGGUCUGAGGCUUUUGAGGACAGUCAGGAGCCCUCCUAUGGGCUCCAGUGAUGCACUCACCAGCUUCUGGUCCUCUUCUUCCACCUCUUAGAGUGCCUUGGCUCCCUCCUGUCGUCCUGGGGAACCUCGGCCCCAGCCCUGCCUCCCCAGCCAGUCACAGCUCCUCCCUGGUCACCCUGAGGGAGCUCAGGGCCCGGCUGGUAGCUGGGUUGCUCUGCUUCUGUCCCCCACUCCUGUGGAGCCUGGCAGGCAACUCCAUGAUCUGACCCCGGUUACCUUGACAGCCCUGCCUGGCCUCCCCUCUCAUGGCCCAGCCACCCCAGAACCUGAAGAGGUUUUCUAGCUGCCGUGCAUUUGCCAGGCUGGGUUACCCACCCUACUUUCCCUGCCUGCCCUCCAGUGCUGCCAGGCCUAGUGUGCCAGCCAGCGCUCAGCCUUCAGUAAAGGGUUCCCCUGCUUCCAACCUCCAUUGCACUGCUUCCCCUAAGACUGUGACCUCCUGGAAGGCUGGAGCACAACUGCCUCUCAAUAAACGUGUUGCAAAAAAGGAAAAAAAAAAAAAAAAAA
rnacentral:lncRNA from 1 species